UUGAACGCUGGCGGUAUGCUUAACACAUGCAAGUCGAACGGAAACGAUACUAGCUUGCUAGUAGGCGUCGAGUGGCGGACGGGUGAGUAACGCGUAGGAAUCUGCCUGAUAGUGGGGGAUAGCCCGAAGAAAUUCGGAUUAAUACCGCAUAAUCUAUUCGUAGUAAAGUGGGGGACUUUCGAGCCUCACGCUAUCAGAUGAGCCUGCGUAAGAUUAGCUUGUUGGUAGGGUAAAAGCCUACCAAGGCGACGAUCUUUAGCUGGUCUGAGAGGAUGAUCAGCCACAUCGGGACUGAGACACGGCCCGAACUCCUACGGGAGGCAGCAGUGGGGAAUAUUGGACAAUGGGGGCAACCCUGAUCCAGCAAUACCGCGUGUGUGAAGAAGGCCUGAGGGUUGUAAAGCACUUUCAAUUGUGAAGAAAAGUUAGCGGUUAAUAACCGUUAGCCUUGACGUUAACUUUAGAAGAAGCACCGGCUAACUCCGUGCCAGCAGCCGCGGUAAUACGGGAGGGUGCAAGCGUUAAUCGGAAUUACUUGGGCGUAAAGCGUGCGUAGGCGGUUUAUUAAGUCAGAUGUGAAAGCCCCGGGCUUAACUGGGAACUGCAUUUGAAACUGGUCAACUAGAGUAUGGUAGAGGAAAGUGGAAUUUCUGGUGUAGCGGUGAAAUGCGUAGAUAUCAGAAGGAACAUCAAUGGCGAAGGCAGCUUUCUGGACCAAUACUGACGCUGAGGUACGAAAGCGUGGGUAGCAAACAGGAUUAGAUACCCUGGUAGUCCACGCCGUAAACGAUGAUAACUAGCCGUUGGGGGGAUUUACCCUUUAGUGGCGAAGCUAACGCGUUAAGUUAUCCGCCUGGGGAGUACGGCCGCAAGGUUAAAACUCAAAGGAAUUGACGGGGACCCGCACAAGCGGUGGAGCAUGUGGUUUAAUUCGAUGCAACGCGAAGAACCUUACCUGGUCUUGACAUCCUGCGAACUUUCUAGAAAUAGAUUGGUGCCUUCGGGAACGCAGUGACAGGUGCUGCAUGGCUGUCGUCAGCUCGUGUCGUGAGAUGUUGGGUUAAGUCCCGUAACGAGCGCAACCCCUAUCCUUAUUUGCCAGCACAUCAUGGUGGGAACUAUAAGGAGACUGCCGGUGAUAAACCGGAGGAAGGCGGGGACGACGUCAAGUCAUCAUGGCCCUUACGACCAGGGCUACACACGUGCUACAAUGGGAAGGACAAAGAGCCGCGAAGCCGCGAGGUGUAGCUAAUCUCAUAAACCUUUUCGUAGUCCGGAUUGGAGUCUGCAACUCGACUCCAUGAAGUCGGAAUCGCUAGUAAUCGUAGAUCAGAAUGCUACGGUGAAUACGUUCCCGGGUCUUGUACACACCGCCC
rnacentral:rRNA from 1 species